rfam:TPA: Bos taurus chromosome 1, whole genome shotgun sequence.
UCCCUGGUGGCUCAGAUGGUAAAGAAUCUGCAUGCAAAGCAGGAGAUCCAGGUUCAAUUCCUGAGUUGGAGAA